AUUGAACGCUGGCGGCAUGCCUUACACAUGCAAGUCGAACGGCAGCACGGGAGCAAUCCUGGUGGCGAGUGGCGAACGGGUGAGUAAUAUAUCGGAACGUGCCCAGUAGUGGGGGAUAACUGCUCGAAAGAGCAGCUAAUACCGCAUACGACCUGAGGGUGAAAGGGGGGGAUCGCAAGACCUCUCGCUAUUGGAGCGGCCGAUAUCAGAUUAGCUAGUUGGUGGGGUAAAGGCCUACCAAGGCAACGAUCUGUAGUUGGUCUGAGAGGACGACCAGCCACACUGGGACUGAGACACGGCCCAGACUCCUACGGGAGGCAGCAGUGGGGAAUUUUGGACAAUGGGCGCAAGCCUGAUCCAGCAAUGCCGCGUGCAGGAAGAAGGCCUUCGGGUUGUAAACUGCCUUGUCAGGGAAGAAAUCCUCUAGGUUAAUACCCUUGGGGGGAUGACGGUACCUGAAGAAUAAGCACCGGCUAACUACGUGCCAGCCGCCGCCGUAAUAC
rnacentral:rRNA from 1 species